GUUCACAUUUUUUUAGGGCACACGCCAAGUCUAUGUGUCCCAAUAAAAGUCAUACUAAACCAUACUUGACAUCCGUAAAGAUUGGUUCUUUGGCGCACGCAUUAGCCUCCCACCCAUCCAAACACCUAGUGGACUUUUUGAUAGAUGGUUUCACGGAGGGAUUCCAUACAGGGUUGGUUCAUACCCCCGCUGGCAUUUAUGAAUGCAACAAUUUACAGUCAGCAUUUG